rnacentral:rRNA from 1 species
CAGUCGCCGCGGGAAUACGUAGGGUGCGAGCGUUAAUCGGAAUUACUGGGCGUAAAGCGUGCGCAGGCGGUUUUGUAAGACAGGCGUGAAAUCCCCGGGCUCAACCUGGGAAUGGCGCUUGUGACUGCAAAGCUAGAGUGCGGCAGAGGGGGAUGGAAUUCCGCGUGUAGCAGUGAAAUGCGUAGAUAUGCGGAGGAACACCGAGGGCGAAGGCAAUCCCCUGGGCCUGCACUGACGCUCAUGCACGAAAGCGUGGGGAGCAAACAGGAUUAGAUACCCCUGUAGUCCCUGUCUCUUAUAC